GGGUGAACGCUAGCGGCGCGCCUAACACAUGCAAGUCGAGCGAUCGGCUCGCCAAAGCCGCAAGGCCGAGGCGAGUACGGAGCGGCAAACGGGUGAGUAACACGUAGCUAACCUGCCUCCGCGACGGGCACAACCCUCUGAAAGGAGGGCUAAUACCCGAUGGUUUUCCUGGGGCCCAAGCCCUGGGAAGUAAAGGCACUUCGGUGCCGCGCGGUGAGGGAGCUGCGGCCCAUCAGCUAGUUGGUGAGGUAACGGCCCACCAAGGCUACGACGGGUAGGGGGCCUGAGAGGGUGGCCCUCCACAUGGGGACUGAGACACGGCUCCGACUCCUACGGGAGGCAGCAGUGGGGAAUCUUGGGCAAUGGGCGAAAGCCUGACCCAGCGACGCCGCGUGCGGGACGAAGCCCUUCGGGGUGUAAACCGCUUUUCUGGGGGAAGAAUAAGGCGCGGAGGGAAUGCUUCGCCGAUGACGGUACCCUAGGAAUAAGCCACGGCUAACUACGUGCCAGCAGCCGCGGUAAGACGUAGGUGGCGAGCGUUACCCGGAUUCACUGGGCGUAAAGGGCGCGUAGGCGGUCUGGCAAGUCGUCUGUGAAAGCCCCCGGCUCAACUGGGGGAGGUCGGACGAAACUGCUGGGCUCGAGGACGGCAGAGGAAGGUGGAACGACCGGAGUAGCGGUGAAAUGCGUAGAUACCGGUCGGUAUCCCGAUGGCGAAGGCAACCUUCUGGGUCGUUCCUGACGCUGAGGCGCGAAAGCGUGGGGAGCAAACCGGAUUAGAUACCCGGGUAGUCCACGCCCUAAACGAUGUGGGCUAGGUGUCGGGCGAGCAGUCGCUUGGUGCCGCAGCUAACGCGUUAAGCCCACCGCCUGGGUACUACGGCCGCAAGGUUGAAACUCAAGGGAAUUGACGGGGCCCCGCACAAGCGGUGGAGCAUGUGGUUCAAUUCGAUGCAAACCGAAGAACCUUACCCGGGCUUGACAUGCUGGUGGUACUGACCUGAAAGGGAAAGGACCCAGGGCCUUCGGGCGCUUGGGAACCAGCACAGGUGCUGCAUGGCUGUCGUCAGCUCG
rnacentral:rRNA from 1 species